rnacentral:rRNA from 1 species
GAUGAACGCUGGCGGCGUGCCUAAUACAUGCAAGUCGAGCGAACAGACGAGGAGCUUGCUCCUUCGACGUUAGCGGCGGACGGGUGAGUAACACGUAGGUAACCUACCUAUAAGACUGGGAUAACUUCGGGAAACCGGAGCUAAUACCGGAUAAUAUUUCGAACCGUAUGGUUCGAUAGUGAAAGAUGGCUUUGCUAUCACUUAUAGAUGGACCUGCGCCGUAUUAGCUAGUUGGUAAGGUAACGGCUUACCAAGGCAACGAUACGUAGCCGACCUGAGAGGGUGAUCGGCCACACUGGAACUGAGACACGGUCCAGACUCCUACGGGAGGCAGCAGUAGGGAAUCUUCCGCAAUGGGCGAAAGCCUGACGGAGCAACGCCGCGUGAGUGAUGAAGGUCUUCGGAUCGUAAAACUCUGUUAUUAGGGAAGAACAAACGUGUAAGUAACUGUGCACGUCUUGACGGUACCUAAUCAGAAAGCCACGGCUAACUACGUG